UUGACUGCAGACUUGUUCAGAACCUGACAAUGGAGGGCGUCUACCUGAAACUCUGCCUGGAUCAGCUGAAAUACAUUGAGGAAUGCGACGGGAAUCCAGAGGAAAUGAUCUGCAAAGUAAACUGCAGCUCUCUUCUGAUCUUGAGGCCGA